rnacentral:rRNA from 1 species
AUUGAACGCUGGCGGCAUGCCUUACACAUGCAAGUCGAACGGCAGCGGGGGAGAAGCUUGCUUUUCCUGCCGGCGAGUGGCGAACGGGUGAGUAAUACAUCGGAACGUGCCCUGUAGUGGGGGAUAACUAGUCGAAAGAUUAGCUAAUACCGCAUACGACCUGAGGGUGAAAGUGGGGGACCGCAAGGCCUCUUGCUAUAGGAGCGGCCGAUGUCUGAUUAGCUAGUUGGUGGGGUAAAGGCCUACCAAGGCGACGAUCAGUAGCUGGUCUGAGAGGACGAUCAGCCACACUGGGACUGAGACACGGCCCAGACUCCUACGGGAGGCAGCGGUGGGGAAUUUUGGACAAUGGGCGAAAGACUGAUCCAGCAAUGCCGCGUGUGUGAAGAAGGCCUUCGGGUUGUAAAGCACUUUUGUCCGGAAAGAAAUGGCUCUGGUUAAUACCUGGGGUCGAUGACGGUACCGGAAGAAUAAGGACCGGCUAACUACGUGCCAGCAGCCGCUGUAA